GAUGAACGCUGGCGGCGUGCCUAAUACAUGCAAGUCGAGCGAACAGACGAGGAGCUUGCUCCUCUGACGUUAGCGGCGGACGGGUGAGUAACACGUGGAUAACCUACCUAUAAGACUGGGAUAACUUCGGGAAACCGGAGCUAAUACCGGAUAAUAUAUUGAACCGCAUGGUUCAAUAGUGAAAGACGGUUUUGCUGUCACUUAUAGAUGGAUCCGCGCCGCAUUAGCUAGUUGGUAAGGUAACGGCGUACCAAGGCAACGAUGCGUAGCCGACCUGAGAGGGUGAUCGGCCACACGGGAACUGAGACACGGUCCAGACGACUACGGGAGGGAGCAGUCGGGAAUCGUCCGCAAUGGUCGAAAGCCUGACGGAGCAACGGCGCGUGAGAGAUGAAGGUCUUCGGAUCGUAAAACUCUGUUAUUAGGGAAGAACAAAUGUGUAAGUAACUAUGCACGUCUUGACGGUAACUAAUCAGAAAGCCACGGCUAACUACGUG
rnacentral:rRNA from 1 species